AAGCAGGGCUGUGACUCUCAGUGAUAGUGCUGAGCUGGCUCUUUUUAGUAGGAAGACUUAUUUCAGCAGAAAUCCUUAGCUCUGUCAGGGCAGAAUUUUGAAGCCUACAAUCUUAGGUAUUUUUAGGUAUUUCUUUGUGAACUGUCAAGUUUCUGGUUACAGAAAUGAUUCACUGUUUAGUUGCAAAAGCCUGUUAGAAAUCUAUAUGCAAGCUGUUGCUGAGGGCAUGCUGCCAUUCAGCACGUGCCAAGCAGCACUGCCUGACACCAACAGCAGGAUCUGUGCUGUUGGGAGGAGAAAGACUAGUACAGAGGAUGUUAGGAAUUAAUGUAGUGUUUGGGUCACUCAAAUAUACUGUUUCUGUGCUUUAAAGGAUUCUUGCUCUUACUCUAACCUGAUAUAAGCACCAAGGACAAGCACUGAUUCUGUUACUUUGCUCUUUCAACCAUACCUAUUGUGCUUCAUCCCCAUCUGAAGAGCAAGAAUCUAAACUGGCUAGAACUCAUUCUGUACCUGACAUGUUGUCCUGAUUCAUAACUGAGAAGCCUGGAUAGCAGCUUGAUUAAAGGUCCGUAUUUUUCCCUGAGAAGCCCAGGCUGGUGCUGCAGUACAUGUACAGGUAGAGGUCUCAGGAGGGAGGACAGCAAGAGUGAAGGGGACAGUGGUAGUGGUGUAACUUUCACCUGUUCUGAAAUGUAGAGGAUUUUCAUCAGAGCACCAAGAGGAGACCACAGGACUAGGCAGUCUCAGGAAUGCAUCCACUGUCUGUAUAGGAACACCAUACUGCCAAAUAAAAGAAUAUAUUCCAGUGUACAGGUAUGCUUCAGUUCUAGUUCACUUUUUAAGUAAGCCAACACAAAAUGCUACACUUCUUAUUUUUACAUUUCAAAAUUUAAAGGCCAAGAUAAAGUUUGUCUCUUCCAGAAGAACUGCAUGUUUUUAAAAGCAGAUGCAAACAAUGCUUACUUCAAUCUAACACUAAUUGCAUCAGAUCAUUAUUUACCUGGUAUCUGUAAGUUUCAUUUGCGUCAGACAGAUUCUGAUCAUCUGUGUUCAUGUCCCAGCUCUCAGGCUCAGCACUGAACGUAGCACUUCCAAACUGCUUAAGCAAUUGAUCAAAAUUCUCAGAAGUAGGAAUUUCAGGGGAACUGAAGGUGAGUGCUUGUUCAUCUGUCAAAACAUUUUAAAGAAUAGGAGAACUUUGGGGAUAAAAGAUACAGAAACAGCAUUUAGUAACAAUUUUUUUCCUUCUGGAGUCAUUAAAAACUCAGCAAUAGAAAAAUAUUAACACAGCUUUUCUCUAAGAAAAGCUUUCUAUUUUAUUUAAAAGAAAACCUAAGCAGUAUCUCAACCCAUUAUUUCCCCCAGGUCCAUGAAAGCACAAACGUAAGGAAAAGGGUAAGUCCCUUACUCUCAAAACCAUGGUUUCUAGCAGCCUAUGUUACAAAACAAAGACUUGUCAGUUAGUGUCUACAGAUCCCAUUGAAGUAUUCAGAUAAUUUAAUUCUGACUGUAUGUUAGUUAAGAGAACACAGCACAGAUAACUCCUUCCCAGCAAGUCACUUCUUCCCAAAGCUGGGCAUAAUGGAUUUGUACCACUGGUGGCUAUUACAUAGUUACAGCAACUGAUCAGGAAGGAGUUAGUUUCCCAUAAGACAACUUUAAAUAUUAUGAUGAUAAAUUAUUUAAAAACAAAUAAACCCCACAAAACAGUUUAUUUUUUUUUCCAACAGAGAAACUAAGAAUUAGAGAUGUUUUAUCUUCACAGUUUCACAAGUGAAAGGAUUACAACAUAAGGACGGUGAACCUGCAGAAUAACCAGUUUUUUGACAGGUUUAGUUAGUUCUAAUUUUAGUCUGUUUCUGGUAUCUAAAGAGCUUACAAAAAUAACACCACAAUGCUUAAUAUUAGCAACAGUUCUUACUUACAGUUUGUAGCAUGAAUGCAGAAAAUACUGGGAUUGACUUGGUCGAUUAAUUUAAAUACUCUUUCUGGUGGAUUUGCUUCAACAUCAAGUGAAUAUAUGGCAGCUUUCUGACUACACAGACGGCUGUCACCUCUGCAAGCAAUAAUAAUAAAAUCAGUGACCUACUUCAAGGUCGUUCCCGUCCUCUUGAAGGGAAGCGCUGAGAGCUGCAAGGCCACAAGAGGGCAUGUUCUCUUUCACGUCGAUCCACUUGACUGCUGCCCAUGCAACUUCACGUCGACAGUGCGUAUUUAGUACAUUGAUGUUCCAGAUUCUGCUGAGAACUGAAAUGAUUCCACAAAGGCUUUGUCACCUUCACACUCUCCUCUUGCCGCACAAGAGCCCAUUACUCACAAAGGAGUUGAUGAGUUAUGCAAGACAAACUGUUGUCUGCCUCACGCAGUACAAGGCUACCAAGGUCAUUUGAUACUAUCAAAGAGCUGGUAACGUAAGAUGGAUUUGAAAUAGCUCCGUAUUACGUGGCGAAGUCCUGGAGUCAUCCUUCUCUUUGGAAAGAAGACUUAAUACUUCAAAGGUGACAUGAAGGUGAGAAUCCAGCAUACUCCAUUGUACCUCAGACAUCUGUGUGCCUUAUGUGUAGACAGUCUCACCUGGGUGUCCAGUCUGCAUUCUUUCUGUUAAAUAUAACUUAAAGUUACUGUAUUUGCCUUCUUCCUUGGGGAAGAAAACCCAGUGUGUUUAGUCUCUUUGUUUCUUUGCUGUUUCUGAGAUUACAAUGGAAACAUUCAUGCUUUUCCUUUCAGUAAGGUCUCCUCAAUGAUGUUACUACUGUUGGGUCUGGCUUUUUUCUCAGGCUUGAAGAGUAACAGUAACUUCAAGUACAUUUCCAUUUUGAAAAGAGACUGUAAAAAUGGCAUCAAGGGCUCCUUUUUCCUUCUCACUAAGGCUGUGCCAGUACUGGCUGCAGACAUCAAAUAGAAAUUACUUUGCAAAGCUGAUGGUGCGCAAGGGACCAGCCUCCUUGAUGAAAACCAAGCCUUGCUGAAAGCACAGAUUGCACCCUGAAUGCAUGUGGGCAGGAGCUGGAUGAAUAAGAGAGAAAGUGGAUGACUUGGUUGAGAUUCUAAAGGAACCGAGGGAGAAACUGAUAAGCAAAACAAACCAGCGCUCCAUAACAGCUGGGAUUUGGGAGGUCCUUGUUCCCAUCCUGAGAUGGUGAUCUUCUGACUCAGCAUCUCCUCCUAUCUCUUCCAUGUGAAGUCUGGCAUCACCCUUUCACAUUAGUUUUCUAUUUGGUUUUAACUGUGCUGUCUUGAACUUCUUCAUCUUUUCAAGGCAAACAUGAGUUUUGCUCCAUGACAGAUGACUUUAAAAACUCAAGCAGACAAGCAUUUUUAAUUAGAGUCAAACCAAAGUCAAAUCAGGCUGAAAUAAACUGCAUUCUGGUCUAGCACAACAUUAGCCCUUAAAUAAAUAGCGAGAAGCCUGGGCUGCCUCUGUACAGCAGAUGGCAUUACAGGUAAUAUUUAUCAUACUCCAAUCCCAAGGCUAAGAUAGCAGGGAGGGAGCAUUGACGUCAGCUACAAGUGAAUCAGUCUUAAUACAAGCUGAAAAACUGCUUGUGCCUUCCACAGUUGAGUACAUUGCACAGCACUUCUGCUUAGAGUUCCCCAUUGCAUUUAUUGGUCUGAGCAAGCCUAGCAGGAAGAGUUCAUUUUGUUUUGCAGCUUAACUGAACUGAUGGAAGUGGAUCUUGGACUUUGAGGUGGGAAGAUUCCACCCAGCUGCAGUAACCAGGGGAAUGCCCUUUGCCCCAGUUUUUGUGCCAAAUUUGUGCAUUUGAGAAUUUUAAACAAAUAUCACUUGGCAGGAUAUUGACCCUCAGGGUACAAGAAUAAUGCAGAGUGAGGCUGCAGGAGGGCAUGUCCUGAGAGGGAUUUAUGGGAGACCUAUCAGGACUCGUACUGAACAGUGGGGAAACCCAAAUGUCCUGUUUCAUUUCCAGCGGUUGUUCUUCGUCUCAUGGGAGCUAAGUGAGCUGAAUGAAAACCAACAGCAGUUUUGCAUCUGGGCACAGUGUGAGUGAAAGACUACAGUGCAGGAGUGAAAGAGUUCAGCAGUGGUCACUAAUUCUCAUACAGAUGAUGCCACCUUCCUCGUGUCUGGGUGCUGAGCAGGGAUUGAGGAGCAUGAGCUGGCAUGGGAGCCCUUACUGAAACAUGGGGCUGUGCUCUACCAAGUGUGUUUGACAGCCUUGUGCUCACACUGAGUUUCCCAACCCAUGGCUGACUGGCAAAGCAGUACAGAGAGUGUCCCAUCCAGCUCCGGGAAACACCCCAUGCUUCCAACCAAACCUGGGUUCUCUGUGGCUCAACACAGUGUGCA